rnacentral:rRNA from 1 species
UACGUAGGGUGCGAGCGUUAAUCGGAAUUACUGGGCGUAAAGCGUGCGCAGGCGGUUUUGUAAGCCAGAUGUGAAAGCCCCGGGCUUAACCUGGGAAUUGCGAUGGAGACUGCAAGGCUUGAAUCUGGCAGAGGGGGGUAGAAUUCCACGUGUAGCAGUGAAAUGCGUAGAGAUGUGGAGGAACACCGAUGGCGAAGGCAGCCCCCUGGGUCAAGAUUGACGCUCAUGCACGAAAGCGUGGGGAGCAAACAGG